ensembl:lncRNA
GAGCUCCAAAGCAUUCCCUCAGACAAGAACCAGUUUGAAUUGCAGUGCAAAAUAUUGUAACCGGGACUGGAAAUCUGCUGUAGCUUUGGACUUCUUUAUGUGCCUAGAGCUUUCACAGCCCCAGCUCAACUCACAUCUCCAGAGAAGGCACCAAGGCUGCUGAGGCAGUGUAUUUUUGCAGUUGUUUUCAGUUGAUCUGUGUUUUUGAUGGACUGCAAAGGAGCAAUAGUGAGAUGCAGAACUCAUAGACAAAAGAUUUUAAGAACUGUUGCAAGUGACACAACCAUCUGACAAUACUGACAAAU